GCUCUUUUGGUGAUGGUUACAUAUCUUUUCAUCACAGGCCGCAUUCGCUUCUGUCUUAGACCAGCUUGUAGCCUUCCUUUGUGAACAGGGCACACUCUGAUCACAUGAGUCCUUGAAAGGGAGAACCUUUCCCAUCAUGGGAAGAAAGAGAUUCGGUGAGGGAAGGAGGGCCAGAGAGACGCCACAGGAGAAACACUCAACCCAUAGGUCCUGAUUUUGAAGGUGCAGGAAGAGGACCUUGAGCCAAGGAAUGCAAGAAGCCUCUGAGAGCUGGAAAAGGCAAGGAAGCAGAUUUUCCCCUUCAGCAUCCAGAAAGGAACCAGCCCUGCAGACACCUUGACUUUAGCCCAGUGAGACCUGUGUCGACCUGAUCUCCACAACUGUAAGACAAUAAAUUUGUAUUGUUUAAGCCA